AUUGAACGCUGGCGGCAGGCCUAACACAUGCAAGUCGAACGGUAACAGGAAACAGCUUGCUGCUUCGCUGACGAGUGGCGGACGGGUGAGUAAUGUCUGGGAAACUGCCUGAUGUAGGGGGAUAACUACUGGAAACGGUAGCUAAUACCGCAUAACGUCGCAAGACCAACGAGGGGGACCUUCGGGCCUCUUGCCAUCGGAUGUGCCCAGAUGGGAUUAGCUAGUAGGUGGGGUAACGGCCCACCUAGGCGACGAUCCCUAGCUGGUCUGAGAACAUGACCAGCCACACUGGAACUGAGACACGGUCCAGACUCCUACGGGAGGCAGCAGUGGGGAAUAUUGCACAAUGGGCGCAAGCCUGAUGCAGCCAUGCCGCGUGUAUGAAGAAGGCCUUCGGGUUGUAAAGUACUUUCAGCGGGGAGGAAGGGAGUAAAGUUAAUACCUUUGCUCAUUGACGUUACCCGCAGAAGAAGCACCGGCUAACUCCGUGCCAGCAGCCGCCGUAA
rnacentral:rRNA from 1 species